rnacentral:lncRNA from 1 species
AUGGACCAAAGAGAAAUUCUGCAGAAGUUCCUGGAUGAGGCACAACACAGGAAAAGUAACAAAGAGGAGUUUGCUAAUGAAUUUCUGAUGCUGAAAAGACUAUCCGCCAAAUAUAAGGCAGAAAAAACCUAUCCCACAACUGUGGCUGAGAGGCCCAAGAAUAUCAAGAAAAACAGAUAUAAGGAUAUUUUGCCCUAUGACCAUAGCCUAGUAGAACUGUUCUUGAUAACCUCUGAUGAGGAUUCCAGCUACAUCAAUGCCAACUUCAUUAAGGGAGUUUAUGGACCCAAGACUUAUAUUGCCACCCAGGGACCUUUGCCUACAACUGUCCUGGACUUCUGGAGGAUGAUUUGGGAAUACAGCAUCCUGAUCAUUGUUAUGGCGUGCAUGGAGUUUGAAAUGGGAAAGGAAGCUGAAAAUAGAAAAUCUGAUUAUACAAUCAGGACUCUAAAAGCCAAGUUCAAUAGUGAAACUCGAACCAUCUAUCAGUUCCAUUAUAAGAAUUGGCCAGACCAUGAUGUGCCUUCAUCUAUAGACCCUAUUCUUGAGCUCAUUUGGGAUGUGCGUUGUUACCAAGAUGAUAACAGUGUUCCCAUAUGCAUUCACUGCAGCGCUGGUUGUGGAAGAACUGGUGUUCUCUGUGCUAUUGAUUACACAUGGAUGUUGCUAAAAGAUGGGAUAAUUCCUGAGAACUUCAGUGUUUUUAGUUUGAUCCAGGAAAUGCGAACACAGAGGCCUUCAUUAGUUCAAACUCAGCAACAGUAUGAACUGGUCUACAACGCUGUAUUAGAACUAUUUACGAGACAGAUGGAUGUUAUCAGGGAUAAACACUCUGGAACAGAGAUUCAAGCAAAGGACUCAGUUUUUGAGCAAAAUCCCAACAUAAAAGCAAAAUCUUAUUCUCCUAAUUUACCAAAAAGCAACAUAAAAGAAGCAAAAGUGAUGAACCAACAGAGCAAAGGAAGGAUAAGGGUGAAAAGUGCAGAAACUUCUUCCUUUGACCUCAGGACUUCUGAAAUAAAUGAAAAGGAAGGGUUAGACAUGCACCCUGCUAAACAGAGCAGUUCUUUAGAGUUUUUGGAACUGAACUGUGGUUGUAACAAAAAUGCUGACACAACCAUGAAAUGGGAGACAAAGGUAUUCCCAAUAGCUGGGGAGCCUCUUCAGAAGCAUCAGAGUUUGGACUUGAGUUCCAUUUUGUUUGGAGCAUAUCCUAAAUCUAAACCUGUAAAUGCAGCAGGAAGAUAUUCUAAUUUAAAGGUGCCAAUACUGCGGACCAAAUCAACUCCCUUUGAAUUGAUGCAACAGAGAGACAGCAAAGAGCUGGACAUAAAGGGAAAUUUUUAUUUGGAAUCUCAACCACACAACUGUUGUGUUGAUCAGGCUCAAAAAGUGAUGCAUGUUUCUUCAGCAGAACUUAAUUUUUCACCAUCACAUGACUCUAAGCAUCAAACGUGCAAUGCUGCUAAUCCAAAGCAGCAUGUCUCUGGUGCUUUUAAUGAGCAUUCUUAUAUGUCUUUAGUAGAAGAUCCUUAUUUUUCAUCAUUGUCUCCAAGUAGUGCUCAUUCUAAGAUGUCUUUUGAUUUACCUCAGAAGCAAGAUGGAAGUGUUUUACCUUGUUCUUCCCUGUCAAAAUCCUCUACAACCCUCUUUCCUCAUUACAGUUCACAUGAUUCUUUAACACUGACUGCCCUGAUCAAUUUUCCCCCACCACUGAACCAAGAGACAGCAGCAGUAGCAACUUCUCCACAGAUAGAUGAUGAAAUCCCUCCUCCACUUCCUGAACGGACACCUGAAUCUUUUAUUGUAGUAGAGGAAGCCGGAGAACUCCCACAGGGUGUUCCCAAAUCUUCAUCUUCACCUGUGAAGGUAAAAAUUGGAACAUCACUAGAAUGUAGUGGAACAUCUGAAUCAAAGAAAUCUGAUGAUUUGGUAAGAUUUAGACCAAGCAAGAGUAUAAAACCCCAGAGUCCAAAAUCAGAUCUACAACAAGAUCGUUCUUCUUCCCCACCACCUCCACUGCCAGAGAGAACCUUAGAGUCCUUCCUUCUUGCUGAUGAAGAUUGUAUACAGGCUCAACCUGUAGAGACUUGUUCUAGCUGUCCUAACACCAUGGAAAAUUCAGCAUCUUCAAAACAGACACUGAAACCUCCUGGAAAGAAUUUUACAAGGAGUAAGAGUUUGAAAAUUUUACGAAACGUGAAAAAGAGUAUCUGUAAUUCUUCCCCACCAAACAAGCCUGCACAGACUGUUCAGUCAAAUAACUCCAGCUCCUUUUUGAAUUUUGGUUUUGCAAAUCGUUUUUCAAAACCCAAAGGACCAAGGAAACCACCAUCAACUUGGAAAAUUUAAAACAGCUUUGGAAUAUUGCCUGCAAGUGAAUCUGCAAAUAAAACUAAUAGAAUACUGCUAGCUAAAAUAAGU